AUCACAUCGGUCUCCAUACAAUCACGGAAGUUAAGCAACGUCGAGCCUAGUUAGUACCUAGAUGGGUGGCCGCUUGGGAAUACCAUGUGCUGUAAG
rnacentral:rRNA from 1 species